GAACAGCUAUGUCCCUCUGUUUCAGGUGUAUUGAGAGCGUGGUGACUGAAGGAUGUACAGAAAGCCAAGCUGGGAGUGGAAGCACAGCCACAAAUGCAUGUGCACAGAGACCUGUCUGUAAUUCGUAGCUCACCAGGGUCUGCAGGUCAGAGGCUGAAAAGUGCUGCAUCAAAGGGGCUGAGUGUUGGAGAUGUGGCUGAGAUGGAAAUGAAGGUCUAAAGUCCCAAACUGGAAACCACCCAGGCCUCCUUGCUCAACUCCCUCCUGAUGCUCUGUGUCUCCUGCUGCCCUGAGACUGAGCGUGGCUGGGUGUUCCACUUCUGAACUUCCGUGCUGAUGCCCUAGGAUGUGGAGGAACAGCUGCCAUUUGG